rnacentral:sRNA from 1 species
CUUGCUGUUUAAUAGUAGAUAUAUUUCUUAAUCAGCUUGAUUUCAAAUUUUGAUGGUGACAAAUUUUACCAAUAUUUCCAAGGCUUGUUGAUCUUCCGUUGGAAAAGUUUCAAAGAGCACUUGCUCACAUACUACAGGGUUCAGCUCAUACAGGUUCAGCUUUAACUCCCGUAGAAGUGUUGGUUGCAAUGCAUGGAAUUGUUCCGGAGAAGGAUGGCCUUGCACUUAAGAAGGCAUGUCUUCUAUUAUCUACGUAUAACAUAUGCUUACUCGACUUGUUUUGGGCCACACAACAGGUUCUAGCAAAGGCAUUGAACCAGAUGGUUGAUCAUUGUGUAGAUAUUUGAUGACACGUCUCCAAUGGAGCAUGUCAAAAAGGAUGUUCGGGAGGAGUAGAUUGCAUUUCUUUUAACUGUUUAUAGAUUAUUAGAUAUUUCAAUGAUGAGGA